CUCCGGUGAUCCUGCCGGACCCGACUGCUAUCAGAGUGGGACUAAGCCAUGCGAGUCAACAUAGCAAUAUGUGGCAUACGGCUCAGUAACACGUAGUCAACAUGCCCAGGGGACGUGGAUAACCUCGGGAAACUGAGGAUAAACCGCGAUAGGUCAUCACUUCUGGAAUGGGUAAUGACUUAAAUCUAUAUGGCCCCUGGAUUGGACUGCGGCCGAUCAGGCUGUUGGUGAGGUAAUGGCCCACCAAACCUGUAACCGGUACGGGCUCUGAGAGGAGGAGCCCGGAGAUGGGCACUGAGACAAGGGCCCAGGCCCUAUGGGGCGCAGCAGGCGCGAAACCUCUGCAAUAGGCGAAAGCUUGACAGGGUUACUCUGAGUGAUUUCCGUUAAGGAGAUCUUUUGGCACCUCUAAAAAUGGUGCAGAAUAAGGGGUGGGCAAGUCUGGUGUCAGCCGCCGCGGUAAUACCAGCACCUCGAGUGGUCAGGAGGUUUAUUGGGCCUAAAGCAUCCGUAGCCGGCUACGCAAGUCUCCGGUUAAAUCCAGCUGCUCAACAGAUGGGCUGCCGGAGAUACUACAUAGCUAGGGAGCGGGAGAGGUAGACGGUAUUCUGUGGGUAGGGGUAAAAUCCACUGAUCCAUAGAGGACCACCAGUGGCGAAGGCGGUCUACCAGAACGCGUUCGACGGUGAGGGAUGAAAGCUGGGGGAGCAAACCGGAUUAGAUACCCGGGUAGUCCCAGCUGUAAACGAUGCAAACUCGGUGAUGCAUUGGCUUAUGGCCAAUGCAGUGCCGCAGGGAAGCCGUUAAGUUUGCCGCCUGGGAAGUACGGACGCAAGUCUGAAACUUAAAGGAAUUGGCGGGGGAGCA
rnacentral:rRNA from 1 species